GUCCACGCUGUAAACGAUGAGCACUGGUCGUCGGGAGACUACACUCCCGGUGAUGUAGCAAACGCGUUAAGUGCUCCGCCUGAGGAUUACGGUCGCAAGAUUAAAACUCAAAGAAAUUGACGGGGCCCGCACAAGCGGUGGAGUAUGUUGUUUAAUUCGAUGCAACGCGAAAAACCUUACCUAGGCUUGACAUACCGCGCUACUCCAUGAAAGUGGACGUUCUCGCAAGAGACGCGGAUACAGGUGCUGCAUGGCUGUCGU
rnacentral:rRNA from 1 species